rnacentral:rRNA from 1 species
UACAGAGGUCUCAAGCGUUGUUCGGAUUCAUUGGGCGUAAAGGGUGUGUAGGUGGCGCGCUAAGUCGGGUGUGAAAUUUCGGAGCUUAACUCCGAAACUGCAUUCGAUACUGGCGUGCUUGAGGACUGGAGAGGAGACUGGAAUUUACGGUGUAGCGGUGAAAUGCGUAGAUAUCGUAAGGAAGACCAGUGGCGAAGGCGGGUCUCUGGGCCGAUACUGACGCUGAGGAGCGAAAGCGUGGGGAGCGAACAGG